rnacentral:lncRNA from 1 species
CGGGGUAACAAACUAAAACUGAGGAAAACGUAUUAAAUAUAAGAGGAGAACAACGACACAACACUACAAUGUGACACACACAGAAACGGACCAAGCAUCAGAAAAAAUCCCCCGAGAAUAACAAAUAUAACAUCAAAACCAAAUACGUGAAUUUGGGAUAGACAAGUACCGUGACACGUCUUAUCGCAAUGUGAAUUUACACUCAAAAAUAAGAGAAAACAAACGACGCAACGUUAAAAUGUACACACACAGAAACGAACUAUAAUAUAACAAUGGCCAUAUUCCUGACUUGGUACAGGACAUUUUUAACAGGAAAAAAUGGUGGGUUGAACCUGGUUUUGUGGCAUGCCAAACCUCCGUUUCAUAGCCAUGUGAAAUAUAACAUUAAAAUGACAACUCAACACCACAGGACUACAAUAUAAAUAAAUUGGAGAACACAAUCGACAAAGAAAC